rnacentral:rRNA from 1 species
CUACGGGUGGCACCAGUGGGGAAUAUUGCACAAUGGAGGAAACUCUGAUGCAGCAACGCCGCGUGGAGGAUGACACUUUUCGGAGCGUAAACUCCUUUUAUAUAGGAAGAAGAUGACGGUACUAUAUGAAUAAGCGCCGGCUAACUCCGUGCCAGCAGCCGCGGUAAUACGGAGGGCGCAAGCGUUACUCGGAAUCACUGGGCGUAAAGAGCGUGUAGGCGGAUUAGAAAGUCAGAAGUGAAAUCCUAUAGCUUAACUAUAGAGCUGCUUCUGAAACUCUUAAUCUAGAAUAUGGGAGAGGUAGAUGGAAUUUCUGGUGUAGGGGUAAAAUCCGUAGAGAUCAGAAGGAAUACCGAUUGCGAAGGCGAUCUACUAGAACAUUAUUGACGCUGAGACGCGAAAGCGUGGGGAGCAAACAGGAUUAGAUACCCCCGUAGUC